rnacentral:lncRNA from 10 species
AGAGAGGAAUCGGGGUUUCUGGGUGACGGUGAUCUCGGGGUGGGCAGGACUCCAAAGGCCCGUCGACCCGGUGGUGGACUCCUUGCACUGGGAUUGGACAUAUGCAAGCGGGAGAUUUGGGGCCGGCGCUCAAAAUCGGGGGGCGGGGGUGGACUCGGGUUUGGACCCCAGGAUCCGAUCAGCGGACCCUUGAUUCAACGUGAGGUCCCGAAUUGACGUCCUUCCCUCAAAACCUCCGGGUCUACAAACCAGGACCCUCAAGACCCUUCAGGGCUCCAGCGUGACAUGGCUGAAGCGCACCAGGCCGUGGGCUUCCGACCCUCGCUGACCUCGGACGGGGCUGAAGUGGAACUCAGUGCCCCUGUGCUGCAGGAGAUCUACCUCUCUGGCCUGCGCUCCUGGAAAAGGCAUCUCUCACGUUUCUGGGGUCUUACUUACUUUGUUACCCAGGCUGGAGUGCAGUGUCACCAUCACAGCUCACUUCAUCCCUGAACUCCUGGGCUCAAGCGAUCCUCCUGCUUCAGCCUU